UCCAGACUCCUACGGGAGGCAGCAGUGGGGGAUAUUGCACAAUGGGGGAAACCCUGAUGCAGCAACGCCGCGUGAGUGAAGAAGUAUUUCGGUAUGUAAAGCUCUAUCAGCAGGGAAGAGAAUGACGGUACCUGACUAAGAAGCCCCGGCUAACUACGUGCCAGCAGCCGCGGUAAUACGUAGGGGGCGAGCGUUAUCCGGAUUUACUGGGUGUAAAGGGAGCGUAGACGGCUGGUCAAGUCUGAAGUGAAAGCCCGGGGCUUAACCCCGGAACGGCUUUGGAAACUGAGCAGCUAGAGUGCUGGAGAGGUAAGCGGAAUUCCUAGUGUAGCGGUGAAAUGCGUAGAUAUUAGGAGGAACACCAGUGGCGAAGGCGGCUUACUGGACAGUAACUGACGUUGAGGCUCGAAAGCGUGGGGAGCAAACAGGAUUAGAUACCCGUGUA
rnacentral:rRNA from 1 species